rnacentral:tRNA from 1 species
GGUCUGGUGGUUAAGACUCUGCACUUCUAGUGCAGGGGGCAUGGGUUCAAUGCCCAU